rnacentral:tRNA from 1 species
GGCUGUAGCUCAGAGGUAGAGCACUUAUGUAGCAUGUAUGAGGCCCUGGGUUCUAUCCCCAGCACUGCCA